AUUCUACAUCACCAUGGUGAUUCUGCUUUUCCGAGGAAAAGACAAAGAAAAUCUGUUUGUCACAGGAUCCAAUAUGGGACACUGGUGCACACCAGAAGAGUCCUUGCCAGAAAGGGAAGACUGUGAGGUCCAUGAGGCAGAAGAAGCCCUCAGAGGAAUCCCUCCUGCUGGCCUCCGUUGUAAGAGCAUUCAUCACAAUUUGGAAGCACUGUUGUUCUCUCUUAUCCACGGUUUCAGUUAUGCAAGGUCAAUCGCAGUCUGAAAAUAGCCUUUCUCUGGAAUGGACCGAAUAUGGAAUAACAUGGACAUGUCUGAUGCACAUCUGGAGAUGGGACGGCAGCGCAUAAUACUUCCUGGAACUGCGAGACAAUGGGGUUGUCUUUUGACAUUGAGGCAGGUUAUUAAAUAGAAGUGUGAACUAUUAAGAGAUGAUCUUGACCCUCAAUACAUUUUUAUCAAAGUCAAAAAAUAUUUGACACCACUGAACAGCUUAUCACAGGCACAAAAGGGGAAAUGCUUUAUUAUGGAAAUGUGUACUAUGUUCUUCAAAACAGAAGAAUAAAAAUAUAUGCAUUUUUAAAUGAAUAACAGCUUGUAAGACUCCCAAUGAUUAACAGCAGUUGUACAUUAAGUAUUCUCUGAAAUGAUAUUUGUAAACUGGAGGGUUGACCAAUCUUAGUGCGAACUUCCU
rnacentral:lncRNA from 10 species